GAGCCCGAGCCAGCUCCGGCCGGCAACCCAAUGGACAAUUCAGGUUAUGGCUACUAAAUGAGAUAAGAAAUGGAGAUUUAAGAGUUGGAAUGAUGAUCUGAAUCUCAUUUCAUUCGGCGUGAUGGUAUUAUUAUUCAUCUUAGUUUUUGUUAGUUUAGAUUUAAGUCUUAUUAGUU